GUAGCAAUACCGCUGGCGACCGGCGCACGGGUGAGUAACACGUAUCCAACCUACCCCUCUUCUCGGGGAUAGCCUUUCGAAAGAAAGAUUAAUACCCGAUAGUCUAGGAAUAAAGCAUUUUAUUUUUAGUAAAGAAUUUCGGUGUUUGAUGGGGAUGCGUUCCAUUAGAUUGUUGGUGAGGUAACGGCUCACCAAGUCUUCGAUGGAUAGGGGUUCUGAGAGGAAGGUCCCCCACAUUGGAACUGAGACACGGUCCAAACUCCUACGGGAGGCAGCAGUGAGGAAUAUUGGUCAAUGGACGAGAGUCUGAACCAGCCAAGUAGCGUGAAGGACGAAGGCCCUACGGGUCGUAAACUUCUUUUAUAGGGGAAUAAAGUGGAGAACGUGUUCUCCUUUGUAUGUACCCUACGAAUAAGGAUCGGCUAACUCCGUGCCAGCAGCCGCGGUAAUACGGAGGAUUCAAGCGUUAUCCGGAUUUAUUGGGUUUAAAGGGAGCGUAGGUGGACGUAUAAGUCAGUUGUGAAAGUUUGCGGCUCAACCGUAAAAUUGCAGUUGAUACUGUAUGUCUUGAGUGUACAAGAGGUGGGCGGAAUUCGUGGUGUAGCGGUGAAAUGCUUAGAUAUCACGAAGAACUCCGAUUG
rnacentral:rRNA from 1 species